GCGAAAACGUUUGUUCUGUUCCAAGCAUCUGACUAAACCGCUAUAGACAAUUUUGCAAUUUUGGAAAAAAAGACACUUUAUGCUGCCAUAUAUAACGCUUGCUGCUUUCGAGUUGAUCAUUGGUGUCAUUAUUUUAUCAGGAAUAAUAAUGGUAUUAUUUGCUGUAAGUGCUGUUCUAUUUGCAGUUUAUACUAUUUGCUUUGCCGUGCUGAUUAUAGGCAUCAACUUUACAUUAUGGCUAUAUACAAUUUUACUGUACAAUGACUUUGAAUACGACGCUAAGCUAACUCGAGGUGAAUUUGAUAAUAUUGCAUUAACGAGAAUGCACUCUAUCAACAGUCACACCUAAUGCAUGAAGAACAAAUUUCUUCUUGUGAAUACAUUUAAAAUAUUUUUUUCGCUCCCAUAACUGUUAUUUUUACUGUAGAGCUCUUUUCUCUACGUUUAUAUUCGUGAUUAAAAUGUAUUUUAGGUGUUUUA
rnacentral:lncRNA from 1 species